GUAGCAAAACAGAUAAUCCUACAUCAGUUGCCCCCAGAUAGCAUUCGGGAUACCUACAGUUCGUAAGACCUCUAGUCUAGCUGAAUUGAACUAAAAAUUCCAGCUCUCCAACAGACUUUUAAAGUCCAAACAGUGAAACUCUUUCUCUGCCUCUUCCCACUAACUGAAAGAUGAGUCUUGCCAGAACUGAGAGGUAGGUUCCUGGAAAUCCAGCUGGGUUAAUGUUUCAUUUCACCCCCGAUGAAAGUCUACUAUUGAUAGACCUAUUGGCAGAAGGAAUUCCAAAUUCAUAACAAUGUGACAUAGAGGCAGUGCAGUAUAUUGGUUAUAGCACCAAGCCUAGGAUUGAAGAUGUUUGUUUUCAAAUCUCUGCUGAGCCACACAUUUUAUUAACUGACCUUGAGCUGGACCCAUUUGUUGCAAGGAUAAAAUGGAUGGAUGGACUGAAAAAAUAUAACAUGUUCUACCUUAUUGGGAGAGUGUUGGAUAAAAAGGUUUGGAUCUCAAAGAUCAUGGAAAAGUGGAGAUUCAUGGAGCUUCAGCUGCAAAGAAAUACAGUAUGAGGCCUUCCGUGAUGUCAUUACAGAUCAUGACAUAUGUCUGUAGUGGUAUCAGCGAUAGCUUCCUGUUUUGAGGAUUUGUGGAACCGCCUGGCAAUACUGGACAAAUGGAUUCCCCCUCAUAGAGAACAAAUCCAGCAUCAGAACAGUUUGAUACAGAGAGCUCCUUGCCUACAGAUAUGGCAUCUUGUUUGCAGCAAUCGUUUUCAGCCUGGCAAGGGAAAAAAACUCUCUGCAGCAACUUGCGAAAUCCCAUAAGAUUUAACUAAUCAACAUCCUAGUCAUACAGGAUUUAGUAGCAGUGAAAAACACAAAGAGAUUUUAUACGUGUGUGUGGUUGUAAACAGCAAAGCACUCAUGCUAAAUUGUUCCCUGCGUUUUUCAUGUAACUUGAUUUUGCCUUUAAAAAAAGUUAUUUGCAGAUAAGAAAAUGGUGCCUCAGAGAGAGGGGUAAUUGGCCACAAAAUGUCAUCCUAACGUUCAGUUUUCUGUGUGCAAGAAACUGGGGGUUGGGGAUGGGGAAAAUAAGGAGCUUGGUAGGUGAAAUGAUGUCACCAAACAUAAACCCAAACUAUUUCUCGAAAAAAGAAAACAGAAAUUGGAAUAAUUAGCUCAAUCAAAAUCAUGCAGAAUAACACAAACAUUGUAUCCAUAGGGCAAGCCAAUGCCCAGGAGCAUCAGUAGGACUUUUCACUCCCUCAGGCUCAUGUUGCCAUAGCAUUGGCCAAACAUAAACAUAAAAAACCCACCAGCCUUGACACCCUGGGCAGAAUGUGAUGAUGUUGAAAGUGGGAAAAGAGCAAUGAGUAUAAACACAGCAGCUCAGCACUGGCACAGCAGCGUGAGUUUUCAAAAGAGGAACCUGAAGGAGCCAAAUGCAGAGAUAGUAAACAAUUGACAGAUGUGCACUGUUUGAAUAAACACAUCAUUGGCAGGCA
rnacentral:lncRNA from 1 species